rnacentral:rRNA from 1 species
GAUGAACGCUGGCGGCGUGCUUAACACAUGCAAGUCGAACGAUGAAGCCCAGCUUGCUGGGUGGAUUAGUGGCGAACGGGUGAGUAACACGUGAGUAACCUGCCCUUAACUCUGGGGUAAGCCUGGGAAACUGGGUCUAAUACCGGAUAGGAGCGCCUACCGCAUGGUGGGUGUUGGAAAGAUUUAUCGGUUUUGGAUGGACUCGCGGCCUAUCAGCUUGUUGGUGAGGUAAUGGCUCACCAAGGCGACGACGGGUAGCCGGCCUGAGAGGGUGACCGGCCACACUGGGACUGAGACACGGCCCAGACUCCUACGGGAGGCAGCAGUGGGGAAUAUUGCACAAUGGGCGAAAGCCUGAUGCAGCGACGCCGCGUGAGGGAUGACGGCCUUCGGGUUGUAAACCUCUUUCAGUAGGGAAGAAGCGAAAGUGACGGUACCUGCAGAAGAAGCACCGGCUAACUACGUG